rnacentral:rRNA from 1 species
AAUCAUGGAGUAUAAUAAUUAAAUUUAAUAAAUUUAAUAUAACUAUUAAUAGAAUUAGGUUACUAAUAAAUUAAUAACAAUUAAUUUUAAAACCUAAAGGUAAACCUUUAUAUUAAUAAUGUUUUUUUUUUAUUAUUUUUUAUAAUAAGAAUAAUUAUUAAUAAUAAUAAACUAAGUGAACUGAAACAUCUAAGUAACUUAAGGAUAAGAAAUCAACAGAGAUAUUAUGAGUAUUGGUGAGAGAAAAUAAUAAAGGUCUAAUAAGUAUUAUGUGAAAAAAAUGUAAGAAAAUAGGAUAACAAAUUCUAAGACUAAAUACUAUUAAUAAGUAUAGUAAGUACCGUAAGGGAAAGUAUGAAAAUGAUUAUUUUAUAAGCAAUCAUGAAUAUAUUAUAUUAUAUUAAUGAUGUACCUUUUGUAUAAUGGGUCAGCAAGUAAUUAAUAUUAGUAAAACAAUAAGUUAUAAAUAAAUAGAAUAAUAUAUAUAUAUAUAAAAAUAUAUUAAAAUAUUUAAUUAAUAUUAAUUGACCCGAAAGCAAACGAUCUAACUAUGAUAAGAUGGAUAAACGAUCGAACAGGUUGAUGUUGCAAUAUCAUCUGAUUAAUUGUGGUUAGUAGUGAAAGACAAAUCUGGUUUGCAGAUAGCUGGUUUUCUAUGAAAUAUAUGUAAGUAUAGCCUUUAUAAAUAAUAAUUAUUAUAUAAUAUUAUAUUAAUAUUAUAUAAAGAAUGGUACAGCAAUUAAUAUAUAUUAGGGAACUAUUAAAGUUUUAUUAAUAAUAUUAAAUCUCGAAAUAUUUAAUUAUAUAUAAUAAAGAGUCAGAUUAUGUGCGAUAAGGUAAAUAAUCUAAAGGGAAACAGCCCAGAUUAAGAUAUAAAGUUCCUAAUAAAUAAUAAGUGAAAUAAAUAUUAAAAUAUUAUAAUAUAAUCAGUUAAUGGGUUUGACAAUAACCAUUUUUUAAUGAACAUGUAACAAUGCACUGAUUUAUAAUAAAUAAAAAAAAAAUAAUAUUUAAAAUCAAAUAUAUAUAUAUUUGUUAAUAGAUAAUAUACGGAUCUUAAUAAUAAGAAUUAUUUAAUUCCUAAUAUGGAAUAUUAUAUUUUUAUAAUAAAAAUAUAAAUACUGAAUAUCUAAAUAUUAUUAUUACUUUUUUUUUAAUAAUAAUAAUAUGGUAAUAGAACAUUUAAUGAUAAUAUAUAUUAGUUAUUAAUUAAUAUAUGUAUUAAUUAAAUAGAGAAUGCUGACAUGAGUAACGAAAAAAAGGUAUAAACCUUUUCACCUAAAACAUAAGGUUUAACUAUAAAAGUACGGCCCCUAAUUAAAUUAAUAAGAAUAUAAAUAUAUUUAAGAUGGGAUAAUCUAUAUUAAUAAAAAUUUAUCUUAAAAUAUAUAUAUUAUUAAUAAUUAUAUUAAUAAUAUAUAUAAUUAUAUUAUAUAUUUUUUUUAUAUAAUAUAAACUAAUAAAGAUCAGGAAAUAAUUAAUGUAUACCGUAAUGUAGACCGACUCAGGUAUGUAAGUAGAGAAUAUGAAGGUGAAUUAGAUAAUUAAAGGGAAGGAACUCGGCAAAGAUAGCUCAUAAGUUAGUCAAUAAAGAGUAAUAAGAACAAAGUUGUACAACUGUUUACUAAAAACACCGCACUUUGCAGAAACGAUAAGUUUAAGUAUAAGGUGUGAACUCUGCUCCAUGCUUAAUAUAUAAAUAAAAUUAUUUAACGAUAAUUUAAUUAAAUUUAGGUAAAUAGCAGCCUUAUUAUGAGGGUUAUAAUGUAGCGAAAUUCCUUGGCCUAUAAUUGAGGUCCCGCAUGAAUGACGUAAUGAUACAACAACUGUCUCCCCUUUAAGCUAAGUGAAAUUGAAAUCGUAGUGAAGAUGCUAUGUACCUUCAGCAAGACGGAAAGACCCUAUGCAGCUUUACUGUAAUUAGAUAGAUCGAAUUAUUGUUUAUUAUAUUCAGCAUAUUAAGUAAUCCUAUUAUUAGGUAAUCGUUUAGAUAUUAAUGAGAUACUUAUUAUAAUAUAAUGAUAAUUCUAAUCUUAUAAAUAAUUAUUAUUAUUAUUAUUAAUAAUAAUAAUAUGCUUUCAAGCAUAGUGAUAAAACAUAUUUAUAUGAUAAUCACUUUACUUAAUAGAUAUAAUUCUUAAGUAAUAUAUAAUAUAUAUUUUAUAUAUAUUAUAUAUAAUAUAAGAGACAAUCUCUAAUUGGUAGUUUUGAUGGGGCGUCAUUAUCAGCAAAAGUAUCUGAAUAAGUCCAUAAAUAAAUAUAUAAAAUUAUUGAAUAAAAAAAAUAAUAUAUAUUAUAUAUAUUAAUUAUAAAUUGAAAUAUGUUUAUAUAAAUUUAUAUUUAUUGAAUAUAUUUUAGUAAUAGAUAAAAAUAUGUACAGUAAAAUUGUAAGGAAAACAAUAAUAACUUUCUCCUCUCUCGGUGGGGGUUCACACCUAUUUUUAAUAGGUGUUCACCCCUCUUCGGGGUUCCGGUUCCCUUUCGGGUCCCGGAACUUAAAAAUAAUUAUGGAAAGAAUUAAAUUAAUAUAAUGGUAUAACUGUGCGAUAAUUGUAACACAAACGAGUGAAACAAGUACGUAAGUAUGGCAUAAUGAACAAAUAACACUGAUUGUAAAGGUUAUUGAUAACGAAUAAAAGUUACGCUAGGGAUAACAGGGUAAUAUAACGAAAGAGUAGAUAUUGUAAGUUAUGUUUGCCACCUCGAUGUCGACUCAACAUUUCCUCUUGGUUGUAAAAGCUAAGAAGGGUUUGACUGUUCGUCAAUUAAAAUGUUACGUGAGUUGGGUUAAAUACGAUGUGAAUCAGUAUGGUUCCUAUCUGCUGAAGGAAAUAUUAUCAAAUUAAAUCUCAUUAUUAGUACGCAAGGACCAUAAUGAAUCAACCCAUGGUGUAUCUAUUGAUAAUAAUAUAAUAUAUUUAAUAAAAAUAAUACUUUAUUAAUAUAUUAUCUAUAUUAGUUUAUAUUUUAAUUAUAUAUUAUCAUAGUAGAUAAGCUAAGUUGAUAAUAAAUAAAUAUUGAAUACAUAUUAAAUAUGAAGUUGUUUUAAUAAGAUAAUUAAUCUGAUAAUUUUAUACUAAAAUUAAUAAUUAUAGGUUUUAUAUAUUAUUUAUAAAUAAAUAUAUUAUAAUAAUAAUAAUUAUUAUUAUUAAUAAAAAAUAU